UGGGGAAUAUUGCACAAUGGAGGGAACUCUGAUGCAGCGACGCCGCGUGAGUGAUGAAGGAAUUCGUUUCGUAAAACUCUGUUCUAUGGGAAGAAAAGGACUGUACCAUAGGAGAAAGCUCCGGCUAAAUACGUGCCAGCAGCCGCGGUAAUACGUAUGGAGCGAGCGUUGUCCGGAAUUAUUGGGCGUAAAGGGUGCGCAGGCGGCUUUACAAGUUGGAUGUGAAAUAUUGUGGCUCAACCACAAACGUGCAUCCAAAACUGCAAAACUUGAGUUAAGGAGAGGUAAGUGGAAUUCCUGGUGUAGCGGUGGAAUGCGUAGAUAUCAGGAGGAAUACCGGUGGCGAAGGCGACUUACUGGACUUAAACUGACGCUCAGGCACGAAAGCGUGGGGAGCAAACAGG
rnacentral:rRNA from 1 species